GAAUGGUUUAUCAUCGAAAGAGUCUGGGAACAUGCUUCCAGCGUCGCCCAAGGAUGGGACUGCGUCCGAUCAGGUUGUUGGUGGGGUAUCGGCUCACCAAGCCUAUAACCGGUACGGGCCCUGAGAGGGGGAGCCCGGAGAUGGAAACUGAGAAAAUGUUCCAGGCCCUACGGGGUGCAGCAGGCGCGAAACCUCCACAAUGCGCGAAAGCGUGAUGGGGUUAUCCCGAGUGCCGUCCGAUGAGGAUGGCUUUUCAUCGGUGUAAGGAUCCGAUGGAAUAAAGGGGGGGCAAGACUGGUGUCAGCCGCCGCGGUAAUACCAGCCCCCUGAGUGGUAGGGACGAUUAUUUGGCCUAAAGCGUUCGUAGCCGGCUUAUCAAGUCUUUUGUUAAAUCCAGCGAUUCAAUCGUUGGGCCGCAAAAGAUACUGUUAUGCUAGAGGACGGGAGAGGUCGACGGUAGUCCAGGGGUAGGGGUGAAAUCCUAUAAUCCUUGGAGGACCACCAGUGGCGAAGGCGGUCGACUAGAACGUGCCUGACGGUGAGGGACGAAAGCUGGGGGAGCGAACCGGAUUAGAUACCCGGGUAGUCCCAGCCGUAAACGAUGCGGGCUAGGUGUUGGGGCAGCCACGAGCUGCUCCAGUGCCGCAGAGAAGUUGUUAAGCCCGCCGCCUGGGGAGUACGGCCGCAAGGCUGAAACUUAA
rnacentral:rRNA from 1 species